GACAGAGGGUGCAAACGUUGUUCGGAAUUACUGGGCGUAAAGCGCGUGUAGGCUGCCUUGCAAGUCGGGUGUGAAAGCCCUGGGCUCAACCUAGGAAGUGCACUCGAAACUGCAAGGCUGGAGUCCUGGAGAGGAAGGCGGAAUUCUCGGUGUAGAGGUGAAAUUCGUAGAUAUCGAGAGGAACACCGGUGGCGAAGGCGGCCUUCUGGACAGUGAUUGACGCUGAGACGCGAAAGCGUGGGGAGCAAACAGG
rnacentral:rRNA from 1 species